CGAACCGGGGGAACUGAAACAUCUAAGUACCCCGAGGAAAAGAAAUCAACCGAGAUUCCCCCAGUAGCGGCGAGCGAACGGGGAGCAGCCCAGAGCCUGAAUCAGUAUGUGUGUUAGUGGAAGCGUCUGGAAAGGCGCGCGAUACAGGGUGACAGCCCCGUACACAAAAAUGCACAUGCUGUGAGCUCGAUGAGUAGGGCGGGACACGUGGUAUCCUGUCUGAAUAUGGGGGGACCAUCCUCCAAGGCUAAAUACUCCUGACUGACCGAUAGUGAACCAGUACCGUGAGGGAAAGGCGAAAAGAACCCCGGCGAGGGGAGUGAAAAAGAACCUGAAACCGUGUACGUACAAGCAGUGGGAGCACGCUUAGGCGUGUGACUGCGUACCUUUUGUAUAAUGGGUCAGCGACUUAUAUUCUGUAGCAAGGUUAACCGAAUAGGGGAGCCGAAGGGAAACCGAGUCUUAACUGGGCGUUAAGUUGCAGGGUAUAGACCCGAAACCCGGUGAUCUAGCCAUGGGCAGGUUGAAGGUUGGGUAACACUAACUGGAGGACCGAACCGACUAAUGUUGAAAAAUUAGCGGAUGACUUGUGGCUGGGGGUGAAAGGCCAAUCAAACCGGGAGAUAGCUGGUUCUCCCCGAAAGCUAUUUAGGUAGCGCCUCGUGAAUUCAUCUCCGGGGGUAGAGCACUGUUUCGGCAAGGGGGUCAUCCCGACUUACCAACCCGAUGCAAACUGCGAAUACCGGAGAAUGUUAUCACGGGAGACACACGGCGGGUGCUAACGUCCGUCGUGAAGAGGGAAACAACCCAGACCGCCAGCUAAGGUCCCAAAGUCAUGGUUAAGUGGGAAACGAUGUGGGAAGGCCCAGACAGCCAGGAUGUUGGCUUAGAAGCAGCCAUCAUUUAAAGAAAGCGUAAUAGCUCACUGGUCGAGUCGGCCUGCGCGGAAGAUGUAACGGGGCUAAACCAUGCAC
rnacentral:rRNA from 1 species